rnacentral:rRNA from 1 species
UACGAAGGGUGCAAGCGUUACUCGGAAUUACUGGGCGUAAAGCGUGCGUAGGUGGUGAGUUAAGUCUGAUGUGAAAUCCCCGGGCUCAACCUGGGAAUGGCAUUGGAUACUGGCUCGCUAGAGUGCGGUAGAGGGUGGUGGAAUUCCCGGUGUAGCAGUGAAAUGCGUAGAGAUCGGGAGGAACAUCUGAGGCGAAGGCGGCCACCGGGACCAACACUGACACUGAGGCACGAAAGCGUGGGGAGCAAACAGG